rnacentral:rRNA from 1 species
AUUGAACGCUGGCGGCAGGCCUAACACAUGCAAGUCGAACGAGUGGCGGACGGGUGAGUAAUGUCUGGGAAACUGCCCGAUGGAGGGGGAUAACUACUGGAAACGGUAGCUAAUACCGCAUACCAUCGGAUGUGCACUGAUGGGAUUAGCUAGUAGGUGGGGUAACGGCUCACCUAGGCGCCGAUCCCUAGCUGGGCUGAGAGGAUGACCAGCCACAGUGGAACUGGGACACGGUCCAGACUCCUACGGGAGGCAGCAGUGGGGAAUAUUGCGCAAUGGGCGCAAGCCUGAUGCAGCCAGGCCGCGUGUGUGAAGAAGGCCUUCGGGUUGUAAAGUACUUUCAGCGAUGAGGCGUUACUCGCAGAAGAAGCACCGGCUAACUCCGUGCCAGCAGCCGCGGUAAUUC